rnacentral:rRNA from 1 species
UUCCCCUUCGGGGGACAAAGUGACAGGUGGUGCAUGGUUGUCGUCAGCUCGUGUCGUGAGAUGUUGGGUUAAGUCCCGCAACGAGCGCAACCCUUAAGCUUAGUUGCCAUCAUUAAGUUGGGCACUCUAAGUUGACUGCCGGUGACAAACCGGAGGAAGGUGGGGAUGACGUCAAAUCAUCAUGCCCCUUAUGAUUUGGGCUACACACGUGCUACAAUGGACAAUACAAAGGGCAGCGAAACCGUGAGGUCAAGCAAAUCCCAUAAAGUUGUUCUCAGUUCGGAUUGUAGUCUGCAACUCGACUACAUGAAGCUGGAAUCGCUAGUAAUCGUAGAUCAGCAUGCUACGGUGAAUACGUUCCCGGGUCUUGUACACACCGCCCGUCACACCACGAGAGUUUGUAACACCCGAAGCCGGUGGAGUAACCUUUUAGGAGCUAGCCGUCGAAGGUGGGACAAAUGAUUGGGAUGAAGUCGUAACAAGGUAGCCGUAUCGGAAGGUGCGGCUGGAUCACCUCCUUU